UACGGAGGGGGCCAGCGUUGUUCGGAAUUAUUGGGCGUAAAGGGCUCGUAGGUGGCCAACUAAGUCACACGUGAAAUCCCUCGGCUUAACCGGGGAACUGCGUGUGAUACUGGAUGGCUUGAGUUUGGGAGAGGGAUGCGGAAUUCCAGGUGUAGCGGUGAAAUGCGUAGAUAUCUGGAGGAACACCGGUGGCGAAGGCGGCAUCCUGGACCAAUACUGACGCUGAGGAGCGAAAGCCAGGGGAGCAAACGGG
rnacentral:rRNA from 1 species